rnacentral:rRNA from 1 species
AUCAACUUUCGAUGGUAGGAUAGAGGCCUACCAUGGUGGUAACGGGUAACGGGGUGUUAGGGCACGACACCGGAGAGGGAGCCUGAGAAACGGCUACCACAUCCAAGGAUGGCAGCAGGCGCGCAAAUUACCCAAUCCCGACACAGGGAGGUAGUGACAAUAAAUAACAAUACGGGGUUCUUUAGGAUCUCGUAAUUGGAAUGAGUACAAUUUAAAUCUCUUAACGAGGAACAAUUGGAGGGCAAGUCUGGUGCCAGCAGCCGCGGUAAUUCCAGCUCCAAUAGCGUAUAUUAAAGUUGUUGCAGUUAAAAAGCUCGUAGUUGAAUUUCGGGGUCAGUAGGUUGGUCGUGCCACCGGUACGUACUGGUCUCACUGAUUCCUCCUUCCUGAUGAGCUGUAAUGCCAUUAAUUUGGUGUUGCAGGGAAUCUGGACUGUUACUUUGAAAGAAUUAGAGUGUUUAAAGCAGGCUAACGCUUAAAUACAUUAGCAUGGAAUAAUGAAAUAGGACGUUCGAUCCUAUUUUGUUGGUUUCUAGGAUUGACGUAAUGAUUAAUAGGGAUAGUUGGGGGCAUUAGUAUUCAAUUGUCAGAGGUGAAAUUCUUGGACUUAUUGAAGACUAACUACUGCGAAAGCAUUUGCCAAGGAUGUUUUCAUUAAUCAAGAACGAAAGUUAGGGGAUCGAAGACGAUCAGAUACCGUCGUAGUCUUAACCAUAAACUAUGCCGACUAGGGAUCGGACGAUGUUAAUUUUUUAAUGACUCGUUCGGCGCCUUACGGGAAACCAAAGUGUUUGGGUUC